GAUGAACGCUGGCGGCGUGCCUAAUACAUGCAAGUCGAGCGAACGGACGAGAAGCUUGCUUCUCUGAUGUUAGCGGCGGACGGGUGAGUAACACGUGGAUAACCUACCUAUAAGACUGGGAUAACUUCGGGAAACCGGAGCUAAUACCGGAUAAUAUUUUGAACCGCAUGGUUCAAAAGUGAAAGGCGGUCUUGCUGUCACUUAUAGAUGGAUCCGCGCUGCAUUAGCUAGUUGGUAAGGUAACGGCUUACCAAGGCAACGAUGCAUAGCCGACCUGAGAGGGUGAUCGGCCACACUGGAACUGAGACCCGGUCCAGACUCCUACGGGAGGCAGCAGUAGGGAAUCUUCCGCAAUGGGCGCAAGCCUGACGGAGCAACGCCGCGUGAGUGAUGAAGGUCUUCGGAUCGUAAAACUCUGUUAUUAGGGAAGAACAUAUGUGUAAGUAACUGUGCACAUCUUGACGGUACCUAAUCAGAAAGCCACGGCUAACUACGUG
rnacentral:rRNA from 1 species